rnacentral:tRNA from 1 species
GGGAGGGUAGCUCAGUGGACAGAGCAGCGGUGCGCACCCAUAAUGGCCAAGAAGCAGCAGGUCGCAGGUUCGAAUCCUGCCCUUCCCA